GGUCCAGUAGUUCAGUUGGCUAGAACGCCAGCCUGUCACGCUGGAGGUCGACGGUUCGAGCCCGUUCUGGAUCGCCA
rnacentral:tRNA from 1 species